AGCAGCCGCGGUAAUUCCAGCUCCAAUAGCGUAUAUUAAAGUUGUUGCAGUUAAAAAGCUCGUAGUUGAAUUUCGGGGUUAGUAAGUUGGUCAUGCCUUCGGUAUGUACUGGCUUUACUGAUUCCUCCUUCUUGACGAACCGUGAUGUCAUUAAUUUGGUGUUGCGGGAAAUCAGGACUGUUACUUUGAAAAAAUUAGAGUGUUUAAAGCAGGCUAACGCUUGAAUACAUUAGCAUGGAAUAAUGAAAUAGGACGUUAAUCCUAUUUUGUUGGUUUCUAGGAUCGACGUAAUGAUUAAUAGGGAUAGUUGGGGGCAUUAGUAUUCAAUUGUCAGAGGUGAAAUUCUUGGAUUUAUUGAAGACUAACUACUGCGAAMGCAUUUGCCAAGGAUGUUUUCAUUAAUCAAGAACGAAAGUUAGGGGAUCGAAGACGAUCAGAUACCGUCGUAGUCUUAACCAUAAACUAUGCCGACUAGGGAUCGGAUGAUGUUAUUUUUAAUGACUCA
rnacentral:rRNA from 1 species